GAAAUGCGAUAAGUAAUGUGAAUUGCAGAAUUCAGUGAAUCAUCGAAUCUUUGAACGCACCUUGCGCUCCUUGGUAUUCCUUGGAGCAUGCCUGUUUGAGUAUCAUGAAAUCUUCAAAGUAAAUCUUUUGUUAACUCAAUUGGUUUCUACUUUGGUAUUGGAGGUCUUUGCAGCUUCACACCUGCUCCUCUUUGUUCAUUAGCUGGAUCUCAGUGUUAUGCUUGGUUCCACUCGGCGUGAUAAGUUAUCUAUCGCUGAGGACACUGUAAAAGGUGGCCAAGGUAAAUGCAGAUGAACCGCUUCUAAUAGUCCAUUGACUUGGACAAUACUUUUAUGAUCUGAUCUCAAAUCAGGUAGGACUACCCGCUGAACUUAAGCAUAUCAAUAAGCGGAGGACUGUCUCCUUAUACCACAUCUCCGAGCCCACG
rnacentral:misc_RNA from 1 species